rnacentral:lncRNA from 1 species
GACGUCGUUUUAGAGAGGGGAAAAACGACGUCGUUUUGAAAGAAAGGAAAACGACGUCGUUUUGGGAUGUAGGAAAACGACGUCGUUUUGGGGUAGGCUGGCAGAGUAUAAAAGGAGGUCGGGAAAGGGAGAAGGAAAAAGGAGGAGAAAGGAAAAAAAAAAGAGAAAGAAAAGGAAAAAGAGAAAAGAGAAAAGGAGGGAAGGAGGACAGCGGAGACGAAGAAGAAGAGGAAAGUUCCAGAAGGAGAGAGGAGAGAGUCGGGGCGGAGGGGAGCGAGAAGGGAGAGGGAAGGAGGCCGUGGACGGACGACGCGACCGGCAGGAAGAAGGAAGAUGGAAACGGGAGGUACAGUGAAAAUUUGAGCUGUUUGGUGUGGUGUGUGUGUGUGGAGAAUUUUGUUGCAGGUUGCGGCGUCGGCAAUGGCGCGACGGAGUGGAGCAGCGAAGGUAGGCCGCAAGCGUGGGGUUGUCCCGCGCGCUCACGGAGGUGAUCGGGGAAGGAAUGGAAAGUAUGGCGGUGUUGGAGGCGUGUGGGGAGCCGUGGGGAAGGAUGGGGGUGGUGCGGGUAGAACAGAGUGAGGAGGAUGUGAGAGAACAAUCUAGGGGGCGCGGGUGGGAUAAAAACUCGAGAGGACAGAAGAGGUGUGUGCGUGGUGUGUGCGUGGGUGGGGAUGUGGAGGGAGCCGCUAAUAGGCGAUGAUG